GCGCCCGUAGCUCAAAUGGAUAGAGCAACCGCCUCCUAAGCGGUAGGUUAAGAGUUCAACUCUCUUCGGGAGCA
rnacentral:tRNA from 1 species